rnacentral:lncRNA from 1 species
CUCAAACUCUAGAAGACGGAAAUUAAUUCAUGCUAAAAUUGAAGAAAAAUUUAAAUAAAGAGUUAACAUCAAGAAAUUGAAAGAGAUGGGGAGAAGGAAGAACUCAGUGAAUCUGAUCUCCCGAUUUCUUGGAGUGGCUUCCCUCUUUUGAUAGCCAAAAGGGAAGAAAAAGAAUCGAUCCACCUUGGUCCCAGCCUUCUUGGUCAUCCUCUCCUUUUUCCCCCCCUCUAACGCUCCUUUCUUUUUUUUCUUUCAAGCCAUCUUCACCAGGAAAAGAAAGAAUCAAUCCCGAAUUCCCCUCUUCAAUUCGACAGAUUUUUUUAGCCUUGGAUUUUGGGCCGUUUUUCACUUAGAAAAAAUGAGAAUUUCAAAAUCUCUAUUUCAGGAGAAAUCGUAGCACGUUAAAUUAGCUUUCCAGGGCCUCUUGAAUAAGCUCAAUACGACAUCGGAUGAGGGAGAUAUGGUGAAAAUACGAAGGGCAGUACAGAUGUGUUUCCAAUUCGGGAUUUCUUCACAGCAAGAGACUUC